AAACAUACAAGCUGCAACAUGCAUACAAGUUGCAAGCUCUUCAACAAACUCAUCACAGUAUGGUUGGCCACUUUUCAACAAAUUUCACCUAACAGUCAUCAACAACAUUAAUUGUAAUGGCAUUUGGGAGUUGUGCUCUUCAUAUCACCAUUGUUGCUCAGGUACUUUGAUUUCAGUAUUAACUGCAAAAAGCCCUUCAACGGGAAGUCAUUAAUUUACAUUUUUCUUUAAUCUCAUUUUCUUUCAGAUGGAUAUGGAAUUCUGCAUGACAGUGAAGGAGCCCGUGAAGAAACUACGUUC
rnacentral:lncRNA from 1 species